rnacentral:rRNA from 1 species
UACGUAGGGGCCAAGCGUUGUCCGGAAUUAUUGGGCGUAAAGAGCUCGUAGGCGGUUUGUCGCGUCUGCUGUGAAAACCCGAGGCUCAACCUCGGGCCUGCAGUGGGUACGGGCAGACUAGAGUGCGGUAGGGGAGAUUGGAAUUCCUGGUGUAGCGGUGAAAUGCGCAGAUAUCAGGAGGAACACCGGUGGCGAAGGCGGUUCUCUGGGCAUUACCUGACGCUGAGGAGCGAAAGUGUGGGGAGCGAACAGG